CUCCAGACUCCUACGGGAGGCAGCAGUGAGGAAUAUUGGUCAAUGGGCGGAAGCCUGAACCAGCCAAGUCGCGUGAGGGAAUAAGGCCCUACGGGUCGUAAACCUCUUUUGCCGGGGAGCAAGGUGCAGGUCGGGACCUGCUGUGAGAGUACCUGAAGAAAAAGCAUCGGCUAACUCCGUGCCAGCAGCCGCGGUAAUACGGAGGAUGCGAGCGUUAUCCGGAUUUAUUGGGUUUAAAGGGUGCGCAGGCGGAGGCACAAGUCAGCGGUAAAAUCGCGGGGCUCAACCCCGCUCCGCCGUUGAAACUGUGUCCCUUGAGUGCGCGAAGGGUAGGCGGAAUGCGUGGUGUAGCGGUGAAAUGCAUAGAUAUCACGCAGAACUCCGAUUGCGAAGGCAGCAUACCGGCGCCCAACUGACGCUGAAGCACGAAAGCGUGGGUAUCGAACAGGAUUAGAUACCCUUGUAA
rnacentral:rRNA from 1 species